rnacentral:tmRNA from 1 species
GGGGAUGACAGGCUUUCGACAGGGCAGGUGCAAGAUAAUGCUGCACUCCGAGUUUCAGCAUGGAUGGACUCGUUAAAGAAGUCUAUGUACCUAAUAGAUGCAGACGAUUAUUCGUAUGCAAUGGCUGCCUGAUUAGCACAAGUUAAUUGAUCGGCCAUCGUUUUGCGGCGGAUGUGCUUACUCUGAAAACGCAAAAUGGCAUAACCCGCGCUUGAGCUAACGCUCGCGCAAGUAAGCUUCAUUCGUUUUUGCCUGAAGGGGCGGAUGAAUACACAUUCAGGAUAAGGAACCGAACGCUGUCGGAGGUGUACAUGGUUCACGAAAAAUCAAACACCGGAGAUGAGUGUGGUGGCCUUAUCGAGCAAUGUUCUGGACGCGGGUUCGAGUCCCGCCAUCUCCACGA